UCAUCUCCGGGGGUAGAGCACUGUUUCGGCUAGGGGGCCAUCCCGGCUUACCAACCCGAUGCAAACUGCGAAUACCGGAGAAUGUUAUCACGGGAGACACACGGCGGGUGCUAACGUCCGUCGUGAAGAGGGAAACAACCCAGACCGCCAGCUAAGGUCCCAAAGUCAUGGUUAAGUGGGAAACGAUGUGGGAAGGCCCAGACAGCCAGGAUGUUGGCUUAGAAGCAGCCAUCAUUUAAAGAAAGCGUAAUAGCUCACUGGUCGAGUCGGCCUGCGCG
rnacentral:rRNA from 2 species